rnacentral:rRNA from 1 species
GACGAACGCUGGCGGCGUGCUUAGCACAUGCAAGUCGAGCGAAAAGGCCCUUUCGGGGGUACUCGAGCGGCGAACGGGUGAGUAACACGUGAGUAAUCUGCCCCUGGGUUUGGGAUAGCAACCGGAAACGGUGAUUAAUACCGGAUACGACCACUUCCCGCAGGGGAUGGUGGUGGAAAGUUUUUCGGCCAGGGAUGUGCACGCGGGCUAUCAGCUUGAUGGUGAGGUAAUGGCUGACUAUGGCUUCGACGGGUAGCCGGCCUGAGAGGGUGACCGGUCACACUGGGACUGAGACACGGCCCAGACUCCUACGGGAGGCAGCAGUGGGGAAUAUUGGACAAUGGGCGGAAGCCUGAUCCAGCAACGCCGCGUGAGGGAUGACGGCCUUCGGGUUGUAAACCUCUUUCAGCAGGGACGAAGCGCAAGUGACGGUACCUGCAGAAGAAGCACCGGCCAACUACGUGCCAGCCGCCGCCGUAA